AUUAAAUUAACAUAAUUAAUGUUUUAAAUUUAGAAUUUAAAAAAGAAGUAAAAUCUUUCAUUUAAUA
rnacentral:tRNA from 1 species